rnacentral:rRNA from 1 species
UACGUAGGGUGCGAGCGUUAAUCGGAAUUACUGGGCGUAAAGCGUGCGCAGGCGGUUUUGUAAGCCAGAUGUGAAAGCCCCGGGCUUAACCUGGGAAUGGCAUUUGGGACUGCAUAGCUAGAGUACGGUAGAGGGGGAUGGAAUUCCGCGUGUAGCAGUGAAAUGCGUAGAUAUCCGGAGGAACACCGGUGGCGAAGGCGGCUUCCUGGACCGACACUGACGCUGAGGCGCGAAAGCUAGGGGAGCAAACGGG